GAUGAACGCUGGCGGCGUGCCUAAUACAUGCAAGUCGAGCGAACGGACGAGAAGCUUGCUUCUCUGAUGUUAGCGGCGGACGGGUGAGUAACACGUGGAUAACCUACCUAUAAGACUGGGAUAACUUCGGGAAACCGGAGCUAAUACCGGAUGAUAUUUUGAACCGCGUGGUUCAAAAGUGAAAGACGGUCUUGCUGUCACUUAUAGAUGGAUCCGCGCUGCAUUAGCUAGUUGGUAAGGUAACGGCUUACCAAGGCAACGAUGCAUAGCCGACCUGAGAGGGUGAUCGGCCACACUGGAACUGAGACACGGUCCAGACUCCUACGGGAGGCAGCAGUAGGGAAUCUUCCGCAAUGGGCGAAAGCCUGACGGAGCAACGCCGCGUGAGUGAUGAAGGUCUUCGGAUCGUAAAACUCUGUUAUUAGGGAAGAACAUAUGUGUAAGUAACUGUGCACAUCAUGACGGUACCUAAUCAGAAAGCCACGGCUAACUACGUG
rnacentral:rRNA from 1 species